UCUGGAUGUUUGUUGUAAGGGCUUUGUUACAAGUGUUAUCAUAACACAAACAGUUAAGGACUAUACUGAGCUUGAAGACAGCUUCAUUAGAAAUUUCUUACCCAGAAUCAAAGAUUUUUCAUCCUAGGCCUGUAUGUGAACCUUGACCUGGACAAUCUUACAGACAAUAAUAGAAAAGUCACCUGAAAUUGCACAGGCAAAUUCAUCAGAAUCAGAUGUGAGCACCAACUUUGUAAUGCCUGGAAUACUUCCACGGAGAAAAAAAAAGGUUUACCUUUUUUUCAAUUGUUUCUUUUUCUAUCAUGAAAUUCUGGUAGCUACAAUCAUGUAUAUUUGAUUUCCUUUUUUACACUUAUGCAAUAUGUUUGAUCAGAAUAUUAUUUAGUAAUUGUUCUUAUACAUCAAUUAACAUGAGUUUAAAAUAUGUUUAAUACAUUUUCUUUUGACAGCCUGUCCUG